CCUGGAGGGCGCUGCUCAAGGGGGUGCUCAGCGAUGAGGUCACCACCGCCAGCGGGGAGGGGCGGGGGCGCUGCCCGGCCACCAUCGAGGAGGGCAUCGAGGGGACGGUGGUGUGAGGGGUGGGCGUUGUGGUCAUGGUCAUGGUCAUGGUCAUGGUCAUCAUGGUCAUGGUCAUCAUGGUCAUGGUCAUGGUCAUCAUGGUCAUGGUCAUCAUGGUCAUGGUCAUCAUCAUUGUCAUGGUCAUGGUCAUCACAGUCAUGGUCAUCGUCAUCAUUGUCUGUUGGUCAUCUUCAUCAUCGUCAUUGUCAUUAUAUCAUCGUCAUCAUCAAUGUCAUUGUCAUCUUCAUCAUCAUCGUCAUGGUCAUCGUCAUGGUCAUUGUCAUCUUCAUCAUAGUCAUCGUCAUCAUCAUCGUCAUGGUCAUUGUCAUCUUCAUCAUCAUCAUCAUCAUGGUCGGGGUCAUCGACGCUGUGGUGGUCAUCUUCACCAUCGUCAUUGUCAUCAUAGCAUCCUCAUCAUCAACGUCAUCGUCAUUGUCAUCUUCAUCAUCAUCAUCAACGUCAUUGUCAUCUUCAUCAUCAUCGUCAUGGUCAUCGUCAUGGUCAUUGUCAUCUUCAUCAUGGUCAUCGUUAUCAUCAUCGUCAUGGUCAUUGUCAUCAUCAUCAUUGUCAUGGUCGUGGUCAUCUUCAUCAUCAUUGUCAUGGUCAUGGUCGUUGUCAUUGUCACGGUCAUCGUUGCCAUUGUCAUGGUUGUAGUCAUGGUCAUCAUCAUCGUCAUUGUCAUCUUCAUCAUCGUUGGCGUGGUCUUCAUCUUCGUCAUCGUCAUCGUCAAGGG
rnacentral:lncRNA from 1 species